rnacentral:rRNA from 1 species
UACGUAGGGUGCGAGCGUUGUCCGGAAUUAUUGGGCGUAAAGGGCUCGUAGGCGGUUUGUCGCGUCGGGAGUGAAAACCUUGGGCUUAACUCAGGGCUUGCUUUCGAUACGGGCAGACUAGAGGUAUGCAGGGGAGAACGGAAUUCCUGGUGUAGCGGUGAAAUGCGUAGAUAUCGAGAGGAACACCUGCGGCGAAGGCGGGUUGCUGGGCUGACACUGACGCUGAGGCGCGAAAGCUAGGGGAGCGAACGGG